UACGGAGGGGGCUAGCGUUGUCCGGAAUUACUGGGCGUAAAGCGCGCGUAGGUGGUCCACCAAGUCGGGGGUGAAAGCCCAGGGCUCAACCCCUGGAAUUGCCUCCGAGACUGAUGGGACUCGAGUUCGGGAGAGGAGAGCGGAAUUCCCCAGUGUAGAGGUGAAAUUCGUAGAUAUUGGGAAGAACACCGGUGGCGAAGGCGGCUCUCUGGCCCCGCAACU
rnacentral:rRNA from 1 species